GAGGGUAUAGUUCAGUGGUAGAGUACAUGCUUAGCAUGCAUGAGGCCCUGGGUUCAAUCCUCAGUACUUCCA
rnacentral:tRNA from 1 species